ACCAUCUCUGGUGUAGUGGUAGCGCCUUGGCUUAAUAAUCAUAAGUCCUAGGUUCGAGUCCUGGACGGGGUA